rnacentral:lncRNA from 1 species
CAGAUAAGCGCUAUCUAGGGGGAAAAGUCGGCGGCGGCGUUACCGUCCGCGGAAAUACGGUUGAACGGACGUCGUCGUCGUUGUUUUUCCGGCAAAAUGUCGCACGCAACGGUGGCGACGACUUUGUUCUGUCCUCUGGAAAACUGUGUACAAAUAGGAAGCAGGUGACCUAUUAGUACCAUAAAUACGAGAGAAGAAAGGUUUUCUCCUCACCGGUAAUGUACUGUACAAACCAAAGGCCCAUGACUAAUGACUAAUGGCUUGCCUGCCGGUUUAUCAGGGAAGGAAAGAGUCGGUUGUCUGCGCGUUCGGAGAAGGAAAGACCUGCCGGAACCGGCGCGUCUUCACCGGAUUGCUUCAAGGUUAGUUCGGGAACCCGAGGAAGAAACGCCCGGGUCUUCUUCUGAAAGGGGUCGGCCGCAGGUCCUGGGUCCGGUUGGAUUACAUGGAUUUGUUCACAUAAUUUGGGUGGAACCAAUAUAUGUAUUAAUAAACGGCGCAUCCUUAGGGUUAGGGUGACGCGCACGUGCCUGGAACACAUAGGGCAAGUACUCGGAAACGGAGUCUAAAGUCUCUUCGUCCUUGUUCUUGGCCACAGUGAAUUCCCUCCGUCCCUCACGUGAGCUGAAUCCCAACCGGAAGAGUCUCAGACUCACCUUUUUCACGCACAUUUCCAUCCAGCGCUGCUGUUGGCUUGUUAAUGUUACGAAUCGUCGCUAUUCGGAUGAAGUUUUACGCAGCUGCUCGUGUGAUAAAAAUCGGUUCGUAUGGUGGAAAGUAGCAAGCGAACUCAGUCUAACUCUGCAUCUAAGUAUCUCUUCCUGCUAAUUUAUUGAACACAUUGUAUUUUCUAUGAGAUGUACGUCACUUUGGAGAACACACACACGCGCACACACACACACACUGUCUGAAACCCCUUGUCAUAUCCAGGGUCGCAGCGAACCAGAGCCUAACCUGGCAACACAGGGCGCAAGGCUGGAGGGGGAGGGGACACACCCAGGAUGGAACGCCAG